rnacentral:rRNA from 1 species
AGCAGCCGCGGUAAUUCCAGCUCCAAUAGCGUAUAUUAAAGUUGUUGCAGUUAAAAAGCUCGUAGUUGAAUUUCGGGGUUAGUAGGUUGGUCAUGCCUCUGGUAUGUACUGGUCUCACUGAUUCCUCCUUCCUGAUGAACCGUAAUGCCAUUAAUUUGGUGUUGCGGGGAAUUUGGACUGUUACUUUGAAAAAAUUAGAGUGUUUAAAGCAAGCUAACGCUUGAAUACAUUAGCAUGGAAUAAUGAAAUAGGACGUUCGACCCUAUUUUGUUGGUUUCUAGGAUUGACGUAAUGAUUAAUAGGGAUAGUUGGGGGCAUUAGUAUUCAAUUGUCAGAGGUGAAAUUCUUGGAUUUAUUGAAGACUAACUACUGCGAAAGCAUUUGCCAAGGAUGUUUUCAUUAAUCAAGAACGAAAGUUAGGGGAUCGAAGACGAUCAGAUACCGUCGUAGUCUUAACCAUAAACUAUGCCGACUAGGGAUCGGAUGAUGUUAAUUUUUUAAUGACUCA